rnacentral:tRNA from 1 species
UGGCUCAGAUGGUAAAGCGUCUGCCUACAAUGCGGAAGACCCGGGUUCAAUCCCUGG